CGGUGACCAGACGUCCCCGUUUUCGGUGAUCUGUCCCCGGUCAAAGCUGUCCCCGGAAAUGUCCCCGAUUUUGACAGUGAAUGGGGGAAAAAUGCGCGCAGACUCAAACACCAGUUAUUACGGUAGUCAUUUAACGCAGCACCAGAGAAGACGUCGUAUGACGUACAGGCGUUAUCAGGACGUACGACCAGACGCAGCAGCGUCAACAACAACAAUCUAGAGGCGGCAAAAAGGAAAAAGAGAAGAUCAGCGGUCUCAUAAAUGGGGCGCCACCAGGGAUGUUGGGCCCCAUGAAAAGAUAUCACACUGGGUCCCGCCAUCACACACACACAGGCAACGCCAACCAUGUGCAGUUUCUGUAACCACACCUCUACCUGUGAAGGCUUCAAUUAUCUUAUUGUCCGAUACUAACUUUACAAUAUGACAUUGAGCUGUGAUAAUAUAACACUGUGAAGACAUGCAGGAAACAUUCUGCAUACUGAUAGUGUUUGUUUAAUUAUAAAUUUGAUUUUCCAUUAAAAUCCA